CCGAGUUUACAACUCCCAAACCCCUGUGAACAUACCACUUGUUGCCUCGGCGGAUCAGCCCGCUCCCGGUAAAACGGGACGGCCCGCCAGAGGACCCCUAAACUCUGUUUCUAUAUGUAACUUCUGAGUAAAACCAUAAAUAAAUCG
rnacentral:misc_RNA from 1 species